UGGAGUCGAUAGCAUGCGAGUCCAGAGCUUUCGGAGCUCGGCGUACCGCUCAGUAACACGUGGGUAACCUCACUUAUGCAGGGGAAUAACCUCGGGAAACUGAGUAUAAUGCCCCAUAUUCCACUACGCCUGGAACGGUGAGUGGAUCAAAGCUCAGGCGGCAUAGGAUGGGCCUGCGGCGUAUCAGGUUGUAGGGGGUGUAAAGUACCCUCUAGCCAUCUGCGCGUACGGGUGUUGGGAGACAUAGCCCGGAGAUGGAUUCUGAGACACGAAUCCAGACCCUACGGGGUGCAGCAGGCGCGAAAACUUGACAAUGCGAGCAAUCGUGAUCAGGGAACUCCAAGUGGCUGGGGUAAGACCCAGUCUUUUCAUAACUCUUCAAAGGUUGUAGAAUAAGGGGUGGGUAAGGACGGUGCCAGCCGCCGCGGUAAUACCGGCGCCUCAAGUGGUAGUCGCUUUUAUUGGGCCUAAAACGUCCGUAGCCGGUUUGGUACAUUCGUGGGUAAAUCAACUCGCUCAACGAGUUGAAUUCUGCGAGGACGGCCAGACUUGGGACCGGGAGAGGUGUGGGGUACUCUCAGGGUAGGGGUAAAAUCCUGUCAUCCUGAGAGGACCACCUGUUGCGAAGGCACCACACUAGAACGGAUCCGACGG
rnacentral:rRNA from 1 species